AACGUAGGAGGCGAGCGUUAUCCGGAGUUACUGGGCGUAAAGAGCGUGUAGGCGGGUAUGCAAGUUUGGCGUGAAAGCUCCCGGCUAAACUGGGAGACUGCGUUGAAGACUGCGUAUCUAGAGGCAAGUAGAGGGACGUGGAAUUCCGGGUGUAGUGGUGAAAUGCGUAGAGAUCCGGAGGAACACCAGUGGCGAAGGCGACGUCCUGGGCUUGACCUGACGCUGAGACGCGACAGCACGGGGAGCAAACGGG
rnacentral:rRNA from 1 species